AUUCCUUCAGGAUAGAUGGAGUGUGUAAUGAAGCUGUUAUAUUCGGCAAAGCGAAUGAUUAGAGGAAUUGUGGGACGAAACGUCUUCAACCUAUUCUCAAACUUUCAAUGAGUAUGGCGUCAUGCUUGAUUGAAUGAAGCAUAGACAUUGAAUGUGUGCUCCAAGUGGACCAUUUUUGGUAAGCAGAACUGGCGCUGUGGGAUGAACAA
rnacentral:ncRNA from 1 species